GGCUAGUAACGUGUAAUUAAACAGAGAGAGAGACAGAGGGGAAACGGCAGCUGCUGUGUCUCAUACACCCCCUUGGGACAGCGCUGUGUAUGGAAGCUUCAUGAUGCCGCUGUCCAGUUUAAUCCUUGCUGGGCCAUAGAUCAGCUGCUUUUCCUCCCCUCCGUCAGACCAAGGUCUUUGAAGUCACCAACUGUGGAGAAUGCAGGCGACUCUGGGCAGAGUCUGUGCGAGAGCUGCACUGGCACAGCAAGACCCAGACCAUCUGUCCUGCGAGUGCAGAAGCGCAGAGGCCCGUUUCAUCGCGCAAUUCCUCCACUCACCUAGCAUCCUGCCAAGCGUCGUCUUAGGGGACGGGCUUGACAUGCAAAUCACCAUCACUGAUAAAGUUUGAACACAGUCACAUGGUUUGUCAUUUCGUCAGAGUCCACGGCUUGAGAUUACAUUUGGGUUUCCAGUAACCGUUUAUAUAACAUCCAAUUUGCGCUGCUGCUUGAAAUUUGGACUGAAAAUCUGAGCGUUUACUGGAUUGCUCCUCAUAAAAUCUAAUAUGAAUGACCAGUCAGCUGAUUUUCAGAAUCCAGCUGCUCGCAAUUAUUACAUUUUGAAGAAGCUUUGUAGUUUUGUGUAGUUUUUUUUCCCCCUAAACAUUAAUAUAUAGAUGGUGAGCUGUUGAUCACGCGCUGCAUACCAGCCUCGUUAGUAUAGCACA